CCUACGGGGGGCUGCAGUCGAGAAUCAUUCACAAUGGGGGAAACCCUGAUGGUGCGACGCCGCGUGGGGGAAUGAAGGUCUUCGGAUUGUAAACUCCUGUCAUGUGGGAGCAAAUUAAAAAGAUAGUACCACAAGAGGAAGAGACGGCUAACUCUGGGCCAGCAGCCGCGGUAAUACAGAGGUCGCAAGCGUUGUUCGGAAUCACUGGGCGUAAAGGGUGCGCAGGCGGGUUGGUAAGUCGUGUGUGAAAGGUGCGGGCUCAACAGGCGGACGGCACAGGAGACUGCGAGACGUGAGGAAAGGAGAGGGGAGCGGAAGUGCGGGUGGAGCGGGGAAAUGCGUAGAGAGAAGGCAGAACACCAGUGGCGAAGGAGGAGGACUGGACGAUAAAUGACGGGGAGGCGCGAAAGCGUGGGGAGCAAACAGGAUGAGAGACCACUGUAGUC
rnacentral:rRNA from 1 species